AGAGUGAUAUCCCAGGAAGAGCAGGAGGUGACCUCUGUGAUGACCACAUACGAGCCUCUGUAUCCUCCAGGACAGAUCCUCCAUGUGCUAGAGAAACAGGAUGAUAACAGAGCCUGGUCAGAGGCACCAGAAUAUUACGUGGAAUGGGGUGAACUGCAGCACAUUUGGGGAGAUAGUGUUGAGUCGGAGGAUGAUAGCUCACCACUUCCCCGACACUCUGCUGGCUGCAUUGAGGCAGCUGGCUGCACACUUUGACCUGGAGGGCAAGAAGGACUCCUGAUUGGCUUCCUUGAGAAGACAUCGGGCUAAGGUGGAAAGCAAUCGGGCCCUUUGGAGUUGUUUUCAUGCAAGUUGAUGUCUCAGUCUUCCAAGUUGGUGGCGUUAUCACGUUAGACAAGUAAAUUUAUGUUUUAAUGUAUAGCGAAUGUAAAGAAUUAUUUUUGUUUUGUUAUGUAUAUGGAUAUCGUGUGUGCAAUAUAUUAGCAAUCUCAUUAUAUGAGCAGCAUUGUGCGAAAAUAGGUAUUAUGCCAUAUGCUGUUAGCAUAGAUCACCCUGCGCAUUUACAAUAAUCAAGUCAGGGGCUGCCUGUCCCUUUAAACUCGUGUAAGGUUUUAUAAAACUUUAGAGGACAUUAUGGCUACUCAUAGUAGUUGGAUACAGAGGCUCCAAUAUGUCUUAAGACCUAUUUUCGCACGAUGCGCAGACUUGCAGGUUGGAAUCAAUCAGGCUAGGCAUAUUGAUGCAUUAGCAGAGUUGUAUGUGAUUUUAUGCGGGUUUUUGUGUUAACAUGAUCAAGAUAGAAGUGUUUAUGUUAUUCUAUUCAAAUCUCACUGCUUAUUUCUGUGAUUUUACAGAUAUUUUUAUUUUGAGUUUUUUAUAUUAUAUUUUAUGUGUUUUUUUUAAAUGUUUAUGAAAUGAUUUAUUUACUCACUUGUUCUGAGAUAAAUCAUAUUUAAAUUUUAUUAAGCAUUAGUGCUUUUUGCAUGAAGAUAAUUGAGACAGAGGAUCAUAAUAUACAUGUUUGUGAGGGUAAAAAGUUAGAUGUUGACACAUUCCAACUAAGGAGAUUAUGUACACAUUUGUUUUGUGUGGAACUGACAGCUAGGAGUGCUGUUAUUUCAAAAAUUGGUCUUAUGCUAUUUGUAGCCAGUGCAGCUUGAGCAAUUGCCUAGACAGGUCAGGAGCUACCUUGUGAGCUAAAAAAUCAUGCAGGGUUUUGUGGUCUCCUUAGUGCAUAGGUAGCUCUUGACCAGACUGCACAAAAUCUGAAGACAAGUGUGUAUGCAGCUCCUUUGGUGUCAUACGGCAUUAGACCCAUUUUUGCACGACUUGCUAAUAGUGUCAUAAUUGAACUAUGAUUUUGAUGCGUGCAACUUUGUGUGGAACUGACAUUAUGUCAUCUAAAGAAAAACUAUGGUAUGCAUAUUG